rnacentral:misc_RNA from 1 species
GUGAAUCAUCAAAUUUUUGAACGCAAAUUGCACUCUCUUGUAUUCCGGAGAGUAUACCUGUUUGAGGGUCAGUUUAAAAAAAAAUCGGUGUUGUUGCUUCCUUUCCUGGUGUCUUACCGGAUUUUGUUCGUCUUGCCUUCGGUUAAGUGACCUAAAUUUUUGCAUGAUUUUUUCGUACGUAUUUAACUAACUUUACGUACGUUUUCUAUAUCGAAUUCUAGUUUUUGUCAUCCUCAUGAUUCG